AACUACCUAGCUACUGCUAUUCUUUUCAUUUUAUUUUUCGUCUUCUGCAAUUCAUUUGAACUGCUAUUUUUUUCUUUAUAAUCAGUCGUUCUUGGUUUUGAACACAACUCUCCUCAAAUAACAAUUCUUAAUUGAUUUGAUCUGAUAAUGGGGUGUUGUGUGACUUGUUGUAAGGGGUGUUGCUUCAAUCCUAAAUGUUUCAGGUGUAUCCUCUACAUUCUAAUAGCCAUUUUCGUUCCUCCUCUACGAGUUGCUAUGCAAUACGAGAUUAAAAGCAAGGAAUUCUGGAUAUGCUUGCUUCUGACAGCAAUGGGAGAUGUGCCAGGAAUCAUAUAUUCCAUAUAUAUUACUAGCAAGACAGACAAUUCUAGCACUGAGAAGCGGAGUUGUUGUUAAUUCUAUGCGUAGACUGGUGGCCAAGCCAGAGAAAGCUUCUAAUAUCUCAUUGAUUUGGAUGAUCCAUUUUCUUUUGAUAAUUAGUACUACGUAGAUCUGAUUUGAAGUGUAUAUUUUUUAAUGGAUACAACUGAAUAACAGAGGUAUUGGUAUCUCUGCACUUGAACAGUUAAUGACAACAUGCCGGCAAUUUUGUAGAACUAGUUUCAACAGAUUUGCAAUAUAGAAUGGCUCAUUGAAUGCCAAAGUUUAUCAAA